rnacentral:rRNA from 1 species
AUGAACGCUGGCGGCGUGGAUAAGGCAUGCAAGUCGAACGCUCUGUAGCAAUACAGGGAGUGGCGAACGAGUCAGUAAUACCCUGGUUACGUACCCCGAAGUGGAGCAUAGCUAGCCGAAAGGUUAGGUAAUUCUCCAUGUGCUCGCAAGAGUAAAGUCCAAAAGACGCUUUGGGAUCGGCCUAGGUCCGAUCAGCUUGUUGGUGAGGUAAUGGCUCACCAAGGCUACGACCGGUAGGGGUGCUGAGAGGCAGUUCCCCGACGACGAGACUGAGACACGGCUCGUACACCUACGGGUGGCAGCAGUCGAGAAUAUUCCACAAUGGGCGAAAGCCUGAUGGAGCGACGCCGCGUGCAGGAAGAAGGUUUUCGGAUUGUAAACUGCUUUUCUAUCUGAAAAAGUUGCAAAACUGAUGUUAAGGUAGGAAUAAGAGGUUGCUAACUCUGU